AUUGAACGCUGGCGGCAUGCUUUACACAUGCAAGUCGAACGGUAACAGGUUAAGCUGACGAGUGGCGAACGGGUGAGUAAUGCAUCGGAACGUGCCCGGUCGUGGGGGAUAACGCAGCGAAAGCUGCGCUAAUACCGCAUACGAUCUGAGGAUGAAAGCGGGGGACCGUAAGGCCUCGCGCGAUCGGAGCGGCCGAUGUCAGAUUAGGUAGUUGGUGGGGUAAAGGCUCACCAAGCCGACGAUCUGUAGUUGGUCUGAGAGUACGACCAGCCACACUGGGACUGAGACACGGCCCAGACUCCUACGGGAGGCAGCAGUGGGGAAUUUUGGACAAUGGGCGCAAGCCUGAUCCAGUAAUGCCGCGUGCAGGAAGAAGGCCUUCGGGUUGUAAACUGCUUUUGUACGGAGCGAAAAGGCUCUCUCUAAUACAGGGGGCUCAUGACGGUACCGUAAGAAUAAGCACCGGCUAACUACGUGCCAGCAGCCGCGGUAA
rnacentral:rRNA from 1 species